rnacentral:lncRNA from 10 species
GAGAGACAGCCACAUGCAGGGACACAGGUAGAUGGAGAGAGGGGCAAGGGAACAGAGAGAGAGGGAAGGGCAGAGAGAGAGAGGACGGGACACAGAGGGUGAGAGGCAGCACACACACAGAGACAGACAUCCAUAGGAGGUACAGAAAGGGUGGAGAGUGGGAGAGGCUGAGAGAAAGAUGUGGGAGAUUGAGUGUGCUCUUGGCAAAGGUCUACAAUAAUUGGAGUGGGUUCAACGGUCAAGGCCAUGCUGUGGGGAAGAACAGGAACAGGGUCAAUUACAUCCUGCGGAUCCCUCAACACACCACCCCAUGGCAGCAAUUAGACACGAGGGAAACUGGAUUUAAUGUGAAUUUUGAAGGCAGCCAUGGGAAUGACAAGUAGAACACAUUGUCUUCAAUGUGGCCAGUGGCCCGCCAGGCAACCCAACCUGGCGCCUUCGUCUAUGAUGAAGGCUACAAAGCGUGAUUCCUUGGUCCCAGCCCCUGCUUGCCAGGUGGUCUCUCUGCGUGUCUCUGUCUUCAUGUGGUGCUUUCUUCUUCUUACAAGGACAUCAGCCAUGCUGGAUUA